rnacentral:rRNA from 1 species
AACGAACGCUGGCGGCAGGCCUAACACAUGCAAGUCGAACGCGAAAGGGCCUUCGGGCCCGAGUAGAGUGGCGGACGGGUGAGUAACGCGUGGGAAUCUACCUUGGAGCGGGGACGAACCCGGGAAACCCGGGCUAAUACCGCAUACGUCCUAAGGAGAAGAGGGCCGUCUGCCUGCAAGCUCUCACUCCAAGAUGAGCCCGCGUCCGAUUAGCUAGUUGGUAGGGUAAAGGCCUACCAAGGCCACGAUCGGUAGCUGGUCUGAGAGGAUGAUCAGCCACACUGGGACUGAGACACGGCCCAGACUCCUACGGGUGGCUG